AUUGAACGCUGGCGGCAGGCUUAACACAUGCAAGUCGAGCGGAGCGAGGGUGCUUGCACCUUAGCUUAGCGGCGGACGGGUGAGUAAUGCUUAGGGAUCUGCCUAUUAGUGGGGGACAACAUUCCGAAAGGGAUGCUAAUACCGCAUACGCCCUACGGGGGAAAGCAGGGGAUCUUCGGACCUUGCGCUAAUAGAUGAGCCUAAGUCGGAUUAGCUAGUUGGUGGGGUAAAGGCCUACCAAGGCGACGAUCUGUAGCGGGUCUGAGAGGAUGAUCCGCCACACUGGGACUGAGACACGGCCCAGACUCCUACGGGAGGCAGCAGUGGGGAAUAUUGGACAAUGGGGGGAACCCUGAUCCAGCCAUGCCGCGUGUGUGAAGAAGGCCUUUUGGUUGUAAAGCACUUUAAGCGAGGAGGAGGCGCUCUAGG
rnacentral:rRNA from 1 species